rnacentral:rRNA from 1 species
UACGGGGGGGGCAAGCGUUGUUCGGAAUUACUGGGCGUAAAGGGCUCGUAGGCGGCCAACUAAGUCGGACGUGAAAUCCCCAGGCUCAACCUGGGAACUGCGUCCGAUACUGGAUGGCUUGAAUUCGGGAGAGGGAUGCAGAAUUCCAGGUGUAGCGGUGAAAUGCGUAGAUAUCAGGAGGAACACCGGUGGCGAAGGCGGGUCUCUGGGCAGUAACUGACGCUGAGGAGCGAAAGCGUGGGGAGCGAACAGG